AGAAAUUUUCCCUGUAUACGAAGCGAUAGCUGUACCUGUAAAUCAUACAAUACUACAAACAGUAGUGUAGAGCUGCUAGAAGAACCAGAAAUAAAACAAACCGAGUUCCAUAUACAUACGCCAAAAUUCAAGAUACAAGACUACUCGCACUGGCGAGUUAAAUAUAAGUAUGUACAUGAACUCCAACAAAACAACUACCUGCUGUAGGGGCACCUCUAGCUCGGCUCGUCGGGUAGGGCUCUAACUCGCGACGCCCUUGCCUCGAUCCUGAUCAGCAACAGCAGCAGCCGAAGACGAUGGCUCUGCAAAAAUGGGGUAACAACAGGGCGUGAGAACUACUGUAAAACAAGUAGUCCUCAGUGGGUGCCGCCCUCAACAAUAUCGGUCCACCCACUAAGUCUACAGAAGAGAGCAAAGGUAAUAAUAAAUGCCAGAAUAAAAUCUACAGCUACCAUUUUUUACACUAUCAUACUCUAAGCUAACCUACUGUAGAAAUGUCAAUUCUGACCCAAUCUCUUUAGGGACUGUAAACAUAUUCGUCCCAGGGACUGUGAACAUACCCGUCCUGCCCAGUUGAGACUAUCCAGCUACCUCCACACUAACCAGUCUGUGGAGAGCAAGUCUAACCGGUAUGCACGACACCAACGCAAAAGCACAGAGCACCCUCCGGAGUGGCACUCGUGGGAGCUACGCAACAGAGUAUGCAGCGUAUCUCUAUCGAGCUCAAUCAGGCUCUCUCAAGCCAAAGUCCAAGUAACCAACACAAACCGGUCUAACAACUCACAGUCACGUGCCCUCGGCACAAUCCGACGCCAAAAAGGCGAUAUGGGUUCCACCGUUAACCCCGACGGCACCCAAUAGUCUGGAGCAGCCUUAACGCUACUGUAAAAAUACACUCGACAUCCCAGCACGAACGGAACUGAAAACUAAACUACCUGGGGUAUCCGUUGCCUCGAUAUUGCGACGAUACAAAAUUACAACGACUCCUAGAGCUAAAUCAGAUAGUGUAAACAGGUGACAGGUCCAAAACGCUGUUUUUCUCCUAAAUCAAAUUUUAAGUCCAACAUGUAUAUUUAUGGUUUGCCAAUCAUGUCCUCAGUGCUGAUUUCAUUCAUGAUACAAUCAAUAAAAUAAAUUACAACUGAUUUACAAAACUGAAAAUCAUAUAUAUCGACUAAUACUCUGCUUAGGAAUAAACCGAUGUAACCCACCUCAAAAGCUAAACACUGGCAGUGAAGGAGGUCACCGGAGUCCCUGCCAAGCUCGGCGCAAUCCAACGAACCAGCGAUAACAACACUCCACGGAUCUAGACCUAGAAACCCAUAAUAAGCAUCAAUUCUGCCCAAAACAACAGCAGCAGA
rnacentral:lncRNA from 1 species